GCAUGUAACACCCGGAAGGCGGCGGAGGACAGCAAGGUGGCUGGCCGGCAGGCCAAUGGCGGCCAACGCCACUUCCGGCCGCCCUCCGAGCAUCGCUCUUCGGCAACCCGAAGCCACAGGAUGGAGGAGGGGGAUCCCAGCAAAGGUAGCGACUAAGGGGACCCAAGCAGAACGGGAGGGCGACGUCCGGAGCGGCGGCAGAGCCAGGGGACGCUGUGUGAGGCUGGCAAAGCGGUGUUCACCUAGUUCUCUCGGGCUCCGCCGCCGCCGGAGGAGGACAGGAGGCCGGCAAGGCGACCCCCAAAUCUUCCUAGGCUCUGACUUCCGUCUCCUAACCCCCGCAAAUUCCAACCCGGUCUUGGAAAAUCCCGCGAGAACGGGCUCCCGAAUUGUCAUUGGGAUCUCGCGAGAACGAAAUCUUCCUUUCUGUGGGCGGAGCAAUCUUCCCGAUGUCUCUUCCCUCUGAGGCCAGUAGCAGGAAGGGCCUCGGGAGUUGCGAGUGUCGCGAGGUUUGAGGUCGCUCGGUGGGCCGGGCGCUGUGCGAAGCUAGAAAUAACUGGGGGCAUGGAGAAUGCGGUGGCUGUAAAGGGCCGCUGAGGCGGUGGAGGCCUGGCAGAGAGCGUCCCCGCGGUCGCGGCUUCUGGCUUCUCUGUGGAGCUUGGUUCUUCCGUGGUGGUGCAGCACCCCAGGAACUUCAGGAACCAGUCCUUCCUUGGAGAGCUCCCCGGGACAGCCACGGGGGCCAAGUGAAACUAGCGCGUUUUCUUGGAUCCUACACUUUAUAGUGAGUCAUAAAUACUUUAAAUACAAAGCCAACAACAUUUGCUGCAAAUAAACGUAAAAAUACUGUUAAAGUGUAAAGUGUUUUCCUCCGUACCAUCUGACGUUUCUGGCGGUUCGUUGAACGCGAGAGAACGCUGAGCCGUCUGCACUGAGCCCGGGAGCAUCUUCAGGGCAGCGCCGCCCACGCGCGAGGUGAAUGAAGGACACGGCCUCUUGACACUCCCAGGCAGCACAGAUAGACGGAUCCUGGCUAGAAGUGACCCCAGGAUUUUUUUAUUAUCAAGAGAGACUAGAAGAAUCAUGAGACUUUUCCUAGUUGCCUUUCAAGAAUAUGAAGAAAAAAAUGGUUCUCAAAGUGGGUUUGAAUGAGUAUUGUUCCAAUAAAUGAACUUAUAUUCAUAUUUCAUCCCCUGAGUCCUGGUGUUUCAACAUCCAUUAGAACUGAAUAAUCAUACUGCAUAUCAAAGUUUGUGGGAAAUUGCUAAAGUGUAAAAAAUGCUCAUAUUGAAAAAGAAGAAAAGCUGAAAAUUAAUUGUGCUUCCAACUUUAAAAAAGGACAACAAGCUAAUCCUAAAGAAACUAGAAUAAAAGGAAAAAAUAA
rnacentral:lncRNA from 1 species